rnacentral:misc_RNA from 1 species
AAAGUGCGAUAAGCAAUGCGAAUUGCAGAAUUCCGCGAAUCAUCAGAUCCUUGAACGCAACUGGCGCCAGGAGGCUAUCCUCCUGGCAUGUCUGUUUCAGUGUCUGAAAACAUCACAAUCUAACUUAAUGUGGUUGAUGACGAAAGUGAGAAAUGGGGGUGGGAUUUGUUAGACUUUCUUAGUCUCUUAACCUCCCCCCUUAUUAAUCUUUCUCCUUCUCGAAAUCUCCCAUAAAAGAUGUACAUGCGGGUCUUUGAACCCCUCAUCGAAUUGGUCACUGUCUCUUCAGUGAUUUCGAUAGGGGGAAAACAUAACAAAUCAAUUACCUAAAUGCAUGUAGGAACCUUAACUCCUUAAACUUCAAACUCUGCAUCUGAAAUCAGGCAAGAUCACCCGCUGAACUUAA